CAGCCGCCGCGGUAAUACGUAGGGUGCAAGCGUUAAUCGGAAUUACUGGGCGUAAAGCGUGCGCAGGCGGUUCGUUAAGACAGAUGUGAAAUCCCCGGGCUUAACCUGGGAACUGCAUUUGUGACUGGCGGGCUAGAGUAUGGCAGAGGGGGGUAGAAUUCCACGUGUAGCAGUGAAAUGCGUAGAGAUGUGGAGGAAUACCGAUGGCGAAGGCAGCCCCCUGGGCCAAUACUGACGCUCAUGCACGAAAGCGUGGGGAGCGAACAGGAUUAGAUACCCCGGUAGUCCCUGUCUCUUAUAC
rnacentral:rRNA from 1 species